rnacentral:rRNA from 1 species
UACAGAGGUCCCAAGCGUUGUUCGGAUUCACUGGGCGUAAAGGGUGCGCAGGUGGUCGGGUAAGUCUGACGUGAAAUCCCGCAGCUUAACUGCGGAAUGGCAUUGGAUACUAUUCGGCUAGAGGUUGGAGGGGACUGGAAUUCUCGGUGUAGCAGUGAAAUGCGUAGAUAUCGAGAGGAACACCAGUGGCGAAGGCGAGUCCCUGGACAACUCCUGACGCUGAGGCACGAAAGCUAGGGAGCAAACAGG